CAGUGGGGAAUCUUGCGCAAUGGGCGAAAGCCUGACGCAGCGACGCCGCGUGCGGGAUGACGGCCUUCGGGUUGUAAACCGCUUUCAGCAGGGACGAGGCCGCAAGGUGACGGUACCUGCAGAAGAAGCCCCGGCUAACUACGUGCC
rnacentral:rRNA from 1 species